AGUUAAAGCACAGUCAGAACAGAUGGGUCACAUCAUACCCUUGAAUUUAGAAGGAUGCUCCCACAUACUAUAUUACUUGUCUGGCUCACUUAGUUCACCAAAUAAUUUGGUUCAAAGGGGCAGUGCCGAACCUCAGGCAACCCUGAGGAAAAAAUCCCUGCAAGACAGGGAGGCUCCCCAGCGGUGCCGUCCGAGCCUGCGCCUCUCCAACAGCCGCACCAUUUAACAGGGCUUUGGUCAGCCUCCAGCUUCCCAUCACAGCACAAGAGCAACACUGUCCCGCGGAGUGGAAGAUACGAGUCAGAACCUCGACACCAUGAAAGCUUCGCAGAAAGUGUGUGAAUCAUCGCUUGUGCUGGUCUUGGCCAACUGUGGCAAGGAUGGAUGAGAUGGAGUGCUUGUUAGAGCAGCAGAAGCUGAGGGUAAGGUGUAUUCUGCCACCAGUCAGAUUUCACACUGUGCUUGUUUCUGCAUGGUUGAAGCAAUUCAGACUUGGAUGUGGUGACUUGGCACAAAGAGUCACAGGUAGGACCCACCUCCUGCCUGGCCGUGGUGACUUAAUGAUCCAGGUUUGUCUGGAACAUAUCUGAAAAACAACAUUGUCUCAGAGAUUGUCUGAGACAUCUGGGAAGGAAUAGUAAAUAAGGUAAAUAAACCCACCAAUAAGGUGGUGAGAUUAUUUUUUAUUUAUUUUUAUUUUUAUUUUUAUUUUUAUUUUUAUUUUUAUUUUUUUUCCUCUCAUGAUAAAUUCCACCAGGAAAGCUUUGUUAAUGCUAUGUAUUUUUUUCUCAGGUACUACUAGCAAGGCCACUUUGUGCUGACAUAUUAAGGUACCAGUAUGUAUGCAACAAUGCAAGUCAUCAGGACUGCAUCAGAGAUGACUCAUGUGCUAUUAUUUUGUGAGCACUGUGGCAUCUCUACAUGCAAGUUCUUUCUGUCAGCCUCGUAUCUGAAUUUGUGUGUGGCUCAUGUGGAGCUAUGGACACAGACGCUGACCUGUGAUGUGUUGGUGUGGGGGUCACUGUUAAUGGUCAUUCAUUCUGAGGGUUUUCACAGCUGCCUGAGAAUCAUUGUACUCUCAAAUCAAAAAUGCCAGAGCCAGAGCUGAUAACAAGUGAUGUUGCAUGCGUGCAUUUGGAUAUGGGAGGUGUGGCUGUACCUGUUUACGUGAGCUCUUUACUUAUGCCUGACCUGCUUUUGUCCCACGGUGAGGUGGGCGCUGCUGCUGAGGCUUCUGCCCUGAGCCUGCCAAGCUGCCAUCUGCCAGACAGGCUGGAGCAGUAACCCAAAUCCUGCUGAUGGUCUCGUGGACAAGAUCCAAAGCUCUUUACAGCUCACGGUCAGUGCUCUGAAUACAUGGAUGCAAAUAUUUAUGGACACCAUGGAUGGAUAUGGAUUUCUAGCUCAGCCAGGAUAUAUUUACAUGCACGUAUUCAGAGCGUGUAAAUCCCCUCUCUGGCUACCUUUCACAAGCACUGGUGAGCACAGCAAUUACUCCCUGGCAUGUGAUGGAGAAGAGGCAGUUCUUCUGCCUCUUCACCACCAACGCUCUGCAUGCAGGCUGGCUGCAGUGGGGCACUGGAGGGAGCUGCUGCCUUCCCAGUGGCAGGAGACAUCCUCUGGUGCUGUGGGCUUUAAGCAGCCCAGUGCUGCCACAGUUAAAGAUUCACCAGUUACUACAACUGCAUAAUGUAUCUGUUUCUAGUGAUGAUACCACUCAAGUAUCUGUAAAUAAAAACUAUGGAGUUGUUUCCCUGCUUACCUUUCCUCCGUGUUAUUUAGGUUGUGAGCAGUUCAGAGCAGCUCUUUUUUCUUGCUUUGAAUAUUUUCAUGGCUUUGGCUGAAAGGAGUCUUGCUCUUACCAUGGUCUCUUGCCAAGCUGGUGCUGGAGCCAGGCUGUUUGAAGGCCACGCAUCCCUCUCUAGUUGUACAAGCCAUGGCUACACAAACAGCAAGGCAGCUGGGGCAUCUCCUCAGAUCUCCAGGGCUGUAGCCCCCCUCCAAGCACACCAGGGAUGCCUAGAGGCAUAGAAUUUCUUGGAAGAAUUAUUUAUUUAUUUUUAAUUAUAGCUGUCCACUCUAUCUUUCUUGAACUGUUGGUUGUGUUGACUUACUCACCUUUAGUCUGGGCCAAAACCCUUAAUGUUUUUUUUUAUCGUGGAGCCCCUAGCCAUAAGGCAGUGAUCUGCCUGCUCCAAUGUAAGCCAAGCGACGACUCUUGCGUGCAGGCUGUUGAUCUUCUUUAAUUGCUGCUGCGUCAGCAGUCACAUUAGGCUGUCUGAGAGGACAGCGUGAGACUUUAUUGACAGAAGGUGCAGCUUUGUAAUCCCUGCAAAUCCCUCCUCACCUGAGCCCUUUAUGUUCAUGGUCUGAAUUUACCAGCCUCCUGUGAAGAGCUUUCAGAGGAUAAAAGCAGCAUUAAUGGCUUGAGAGCUUCAGACUUCAGUGAAGGCAUCGCUUGCUUGUGAUCUCUAAGAACCCAGUUGCACAAGAGACGUACUGCUCAGAGCUUUGUCAGCUUGGUCUUCUGCAUCUGCCGGCACUCAGCCCCACGGAUUGUCAAGGGACUCGCUGCUAUGAGAUUAUGCAUUAGAGGGAAACUAGGGAGGGAAUUGUUCUGGAAUACAGAUUGCUUCUAAACGCUCCUGACUCACAUUGAAAUGGAGGGACCUGCCUCAGUGAUGUGCCUGAGAAGUUGCUACAUAAAAGACUGUAAAACAUUCAAUUUCAGUGAAAAUCCAGCUGACCUGGGACAAGCUCAUCUCUCCAGGAACUGCACUUGCUCUCGUAAGGCGAUGAAAAAAAGGCGGUCAAACAGUGUUAGCAUGUGUACCUUGCCCAUCAUCCCAGAGUACCCAGGCUUCCAAGACAUUAAGUUAUCAAGAAAUUACUCUGAAACUCCAGCCUUCAACCAACUUUUCCAGGAUUUGGAAGGAAAGAGCUCUUCAUCACAGCCAAACAGCUUUCCAAACAAAGCUUCAUUACCCCAUUGCUUGGGGGCCUCUUCAAGAGGCUACUUGAAAGGCAACCCAGCAACCAGCAGCGGCUUCCGUGACAAACCACUGCAGGAGUAUUUCAACGAGAGGCUAAUGGAGCUCAGGAACUAUGAGAGUAAGAGGUCCAACAGGAAGACGAAAGUAUUUGCUGACAAGAACCAGAACCCCUUCCUCACCCGCAGAGGAUCUCGGCGCAGAAGUAGCUGCAGUGCCGUGGUAAUGAUUGGGCGUAGCAAGGAGACAGAAGAAUCCUGCAGCCCAGCAAACCAAGACAACAAGAAAGUGAUGGAGCACAGUGAUCCAAAGGAAACCCAGAAAGUCCUGGACCUCUACAAGGGUGACUUCUUGGACAUUUUAACAAUGCACAUAGCUGCUCCCCUAGAAGCGUUAGUGCAAAAAAAAUAAUACUGGAGCUGUUUACAGCUACUCCUAAAGUCCUCAAAACGCAGAAUUGUUCCUGUUCAGCACUGUUCUGACUUAAGUAGCUCAUGUGUGUUAGUUCAAUCUGACACAGAAAUAUGUUUGUGGGACAAAAUGUUCUCUCAUAUUGUGUUCUUGAUUGACAUUACAUAUUUUUGUUUUCAAUUAUUUUCCUCAAAGAAUCAGUGAAAUUGUGAAAUAGUCUUAAAUUACUACACACACAGAGCAGCAUUUGAAAUGCAUGCACAUAUUAUUGAAUUCUUAAAUUGCCUUAAAAAAAAAUGUGAUUAUCAUCAGUGGAACAGAUUGGUUUCUUAUUGGUAAUGUGCAUUUCUGUUAGCUAACCUGAAAAAAAACACUAUUGUGUCCUGUCAAUUUACUUUCCUUGCUUUAAGUCUUGCUUUUUUAUCAUAUCACUUUGACCUAUUUCAUUUCUGGUGAUGUUUUGUAUGGAUGCAAAUACUUGAUGAGAAAUGAUUGAUUUUCUUUUGUGGCCAUGUGCAAUCACCAGGUGGAUCAUUGUAGCAGUGUCUGAUGUAUGUAAAAGCAAACACAGAUGUAAGUUUUAUUUUUAAUCUGAUCAGCCAUUAUGGUUUCAUGUGUAGGCUCACAAACCUUUAAAAAGAACUACGGGGGCAAAGAGGAAAGAAAGCUACAUUUAAGUGAGAAUUAUAGAAGUAAUUAUGAAGGUAGGAUCCUUCCCACUUUCCUGCUGUAAAUAUGAGGACAACAUAGCAAAUUCUCAAUGUAAUCUGAGCUUCAAAUUGUUUAUCGUAUUUUAGUGCUUAUAGUGGUUAUUUAAGUAUACAACACCAGCUGCAGCUACAUUUUUCAAUUACAUGAAAUGUCAGUGUUUAAUUCUACAGAGCACCGACCAAGGACCAGGCCCAAAGCAGGGUAACUAUUUCAAGCUUCUAAAAAACAUGACUACUGCCUGUAGUAUAACUGGCAAUAAAUUUAUCAUUACAGUGUUAAUUUGAGCUGAUGUUUCUUUCUUUACUUUCAGAUUUUUCAAUAUGAGUUAACAAGUAAGUGGAGCUGGAAAAAUUAGGUAAUGAAUAUAUCGAUUUGCAAAUUCCUACCAGCAGAAUAGAGCAACAGCAAGACUGGCAGCAGCAGCUUUCUGCCAAAACCCAAGCACAAAACCCUGUCUGCAGAUAUAUACAUUAAUAAAAGUAGUUUUGGAUGAUGGGGA